rnacentral:rRNA from 1 species
UGGUAGUGUAUUGGACAACCAUGGCGAUCACGGGUAACGGAGAAUUAGGGUUCGAUUCCGGAGAGGGAGCCAGAGAAACGGCUACCACAUCUAAGGAAGGCAGCAGGCGCGUAAAUUACCCAAUCCUGACUCAGGGAGGUAGUGACAAGAAAUAAAGACUCGUUGCAUUUAUGAUGCAUCGGGAUUUUAAUGAGAACAAUGUAAAUAACUUAACGAGGAACAAUUGGAGGGCAAGUCUGGUGCCAGCAGCCGCGGUAAUUCCAGCUCCAAUAGCGUAUAUUAAAGUUGUUGCAGUUAAAAAGCUCGUAGUCGAACUUCUGGUUGGCGCAUGCAUGGCUACGGUCGUGUAUGCGUACAGCUAUCCUCUUGAGAACCACCGAGGCCUUAACUGGUCGUUGAUGGGUAUCAGGAAUUUUACUUUGAAAAAAUUAGAGUGUUUCAGGCAGGCGAUUGCCCGAAUACAUUAGCAUGGAAUAAUGGAAUAGGACUUCGGCCCAUUUUGUUGGUUAUUGGACGAAGUAAUGAUUAAUAGGGACAGUUGGGGGCAUUAGUAUUUAAUUGUCAGAGGUGAAAUUCUUGGAUUUAUUAAAGACUAACUAAUGCGAAAGCAUUUGCCAAGGAUGUUUUC